CGUGGUGCACCGGCAACUCGUAACUUGUUUAGUUAAGUGACACUUUUGCGGUUAAUUGGGAGAGUUACCGCGUGCUAUUAGUUUACAAAGAGAAACUUUACUCGAAAACAUGUCAAAAUUUCCAUUCGGUACACCUGUCACAACAACAGCAAGUACGGGAUUUGGUUUUGGUGCACAAAAGACAAAUACUGGAUUUACAUUAGGUAGUACACCACUUAGUACUACAAAUCCAACCGUUGGUUCUGGUCUGACUUUUGGUACACCAGCCUCGACAACAACCAUGGCCUUAAAUCCCAGUUUUUGUGGCACUUCCGCUACUCAAGCUCAGUCCAACCUACUUCUAGGAUCAAAUGUAACAACUUCAACUUCUAGUUUAUUUUCAACACCAAUAUCUUCAGCAGCUGCUUCCACUGGUCUUACAUUUGGGACACCAGGCACAACGAGUAGUUUAAAUUUUGGAAAUACUAGUAUUACACCUGUGACAGGAAGUCUUGGUUUAAAAGCUCCAGUAACAACUGCUCCAUCUCUUUUCGGAAGUGCUCCUACUGGAGGCUUAUUUGGUGCAAAACCUAUAACAACUUCUACCACAACGGUAGCAACUACUGUCAACAAAGGUCUCGGGGGUUUGGAUGUAUCUAUUAGCAAUAAAGGACUCUCUCAGGGGAGCAAUAGUCCUACAGCUGCUAAAGAAAAUUUGUUACCAAGUGAACUUGUACAGACCAUAGAUAAUUUCAAAGCAUUUGUAAAAAUGCAGAAGUCAUUCUCAUCGGACAUAGCCAGGGGUUCUGCUAGACCUUUGAAUCGAUGUGCCGAAGAUACCGCAUCACUGAUGGAAAUGCUAACAUCAUUAGCUGGAUCUGUUCAACGAGAUCGUUCCUUAGCCGAUAAAUUAAAACACGAUACAGCAAAGGCCUUACAAAGUGCCGAGAUUGCUCAAAGAACGCAUGAUACACCUGCAGGGCUGCAGUAUGAAAAUAAUGCUCCACUAUUAUUUUUCAUGGAACUUGCAGAACAUUUUGAACACGAUUUAAUGUUGUUCAGAUCACAAAUUGAAGUGACAGAAAAGCAUAUACAAACCAUGAUGGCACCCAAAACACUAACACCACAAGAACUCACAAUGGCUAUGAGAAAAUUACACGAUUCCCUUGUUGCGGUUGCUGGCAAACUACAAGGUGUACAUGCUAAAGUGCAACAACAAAAAGAGCAGUAUCUCAAUUUAAGGAAAUAUGUAUUAAAGGAUAGUACCAAUGUAUUCGAAGACAUUAAAAUAAACGGGAGGACAAGCAAGAAUAACUUUGGAAAGGUAACAAGUGGUCCAACACCCUUUGGUCCAGGAAACAAAACCUUCUUAUCAUCGACGGCUCUAAGUUGCAGUCGAACCCCAAGUUAUGGAACACCAAACCCUUUAGGAAAAAUAUAGUGGCUGUAUUUAGUUGUUGAGGUACAAACUCUUUUAAUAUCGUUUACUUGUGUUGUCUGCUGUGGGAAUAGAUCAGGUGCUUACGGACAUCACUGUUGGCAAUUAACUCCCAGACUUGGGGAAGUGCCACGCCAGUUGCAGCAGCCAGUAACAUCUCUCUGGGUACGACCAUGAAACCACCAACCACAAGUUUAAGUUUCA
rnacentral:misc_RNA from 1 species